rnacentral:sRNA from 1 species
UUUUAGCCACGAUGGUAGUGGAAAUCCUUUUUUAAAAUUUUUGUAAGGUUACCCUUUUUGCGUUUGAACGCAGAAAGGGUUGUGUGCUGGCAAAAUUUUUAAAAAGAUUGCAACGGACAGCGUGUAGAAAA